rnacentral:rRNA from 1 species
AGUGAACGCUGGCGGUAGGCCUAACACAUGCAAGUCGAACGGCAGCACAGGAGAGCUUGCUCUCUGGGUGGCGAGUGGCGGACGGGUGAGGAAUACAUCGGAAUCUACUUUUUCGUGGGGGAUAACGUAGGGAAACUUACGCUAAUACCGCAUACGACCUACGGGUAAAAGCAGGGGACCUUCGGGCCUUGCGCGAUUGAAUGAGCCGAUGUCGGAUUAGCUAGUUGGCGGGGUAAAGGCCCACCAAGGCGACGAUCCGUAGCUGGUCUGAGAGGAUGAUCAGCCACACUGGAACUGGGACACGGUCCAGACUCCUACGGGAGGAAGCAGUGGGGAAUAUUGGACAAUGGGCGCAAGCCUGAUCCAGACAUACCGCGUGGGUGAAGAAGGCCUUCGGGUUGUAAAGCCCUUUUGUUGGGAAAGAAAUCCAGCUGGCUAAUACCCGGUUGGGAUGACGGUACCCAAAGAAUAAGCACCGGCUAACUUCGUGCCAGCCGCCGCAGUAA